rnacentral:rRNA from 1 species
ACACGACUCUCGGCAAUGGAUAUCUCGGCUCUCGCAUCGAUGAAGAGCGCAGCGAAAUGCGAUACGUGGUGCGAAUUGCAGAAUCCCGCGAACCAUCGAGUCUUUGAACGCAAGUUGCGCCCGAGGCCAACCGGCCAAGGGCACGUCUGCCUGGGCGUCGAUC